rnacentral:rRNA from 1 species
CCCUUAGAUGUUCUGGGCCGCACGCGUGCUACACUGAGUGGAUCAGCGGGUCAGGUUGCGCGAAAGUGUUUCCUAAUCUUUAAAUCCGCUCGUGAUGGGGAUUGACGGUUGCAAUUUUCCGUCAUGAACGAGGAAUACCUUGUAAGCGCGGGUCAUCAUCCCGCGCUGAAUACGUCCCUGCCCUUUGUACACACCGCCCGUCGCUCCUACCGAUUGAGUGGUCCGGUGAGGCUUUGGGAUCUGAGCGGAAAGAGCGUUUCGCUGUUUCUGCCCGGAAAACUCAGUCGAACCUUAUCAUUGAGAGGAAGGAGAAGGCGGAACA